rnacentral:rRNA from 1 species
GACGAACGCUGGCGGCGUGCUUAACACAUGCAAGUCGAACGAAGUGGCGAACGGGUGAGUAACGCGUAAUCAACCUGCCCUUCAGAGGGGGACAACAGUUGGAAACGACUGCUAAUACCGCAUACUGAAGGCGGGGUUUGCGUCUGAUUGGCUAGUUGGAGGGGUAACGGCCCACCAGGGCGAUGAUCAGUAGCCGGUCGGAGAGGAUGAACGGCCACAUGGGGACGGAGACAGGGCCAAGACUCCUAGGGGAGGCAGCAGUGGGGAAUCUUCCGAAAUGGACGAAAGUCUGACCGAGAAACGCCGCGGGAGUGAAGAAGGUUUUCGGAUCGUAAAACUCUGUUGUAAGAGAAGCGGUAUCUAACCAGAAAGCCACGGCUAACUACGUGCCAGCAGCCGCGGUAAUUC